GGCGGUUGGACCCGCGGGCGUCGCCUCAGCUCCCCGCGGCGGCGGGGCAGGCGGUCUUGGGCCGGCGCCGCUGAGGGGAGGGGACUGCGGGGGGCGGCUUAACGGCACCCGAGGCCGUUGCAGGCCUCAGCCGUACCCAAAGGAGCGGGGACCCAGCGGACAGCUUGGUUUGCGCGAUCACAGCAUACAGAAUGGAUCUUGGAGGAAGGGGUCCCUGCUGGGCCUUCAAGGAAACCACGUGUAGACAUGAACAACCUUCAAUCUCCUGAUCUCUGGAGUUCACUGUUGGCAGAAAGCAGACUUUGAAUGGACCAUGAUGGAUCCAGGAUUGGGAGAGAAUUGGACCAGAGCCCUUUGUCAGGGCGUAAGUAGGUUGAUUGCAGCCUGGUCUCAGCUUGGUUCAGUCUGUCCUGUGACAGGAGUUUCUCAACUGUGGAGUUGGAAUGCAAGGUCUCUUGGGAAAAGAUGACCCUGUUUACUGAGAAAGCAUGAAGGUUCUGGUUGAAUCAGUCUCAUAAGGUUGCUGUGUAACCUGAGUGUCCAGAGCUGAAAAGCCUCUGGCUGUUUUGAAGAAUCAAGUAUUAUAUUAAACUUAGGUAAAAAUUUCUUAACUUUGUAGCCUUCCUAUCUGGAGAAAGAAAAUAAAAUCCUUUGAAUCAAAA